rnacentral:rRNA from 1 species
AUUGAACGCUGGCGGCGUGCCUAACACAUGCAAGUCGAGCGGUAACAGGUGUAGCAAUACAUGCUGACGAGCGGCGGACGGGUGAGUAACGCUUGGGAAUCUGCCUAUUAGUGGGGGACAACCCGGGGAAACUCGGGCUAAUACCGCAUACGCACUACGGUGGAAAGCCGGGGACCGCAAGGCCUGGCGCUAACAGAUGAGCCCAAGUCGGAUUAGCUAGUUGGUAGGGUAACGGCCACCAAGGCGACGAUCCGUAACUGGUCUGAGAGGACGACCAGUCACACCGGAACUGAGACACGGUCCGGACUCCUACGGGAGGCAGCAGUGGGGAAUAUUGGACAAUGGGCGAAAGCCUGAUCCAGCGACGCCGCGUGGGUGAAGAAGGCCUGCGGGUUGUAAAGCCCUUUCAGUGGGGAAGAAAAGCCUCGAGCUAAUAUCUCGGGGUCUUGACGUAACCCAUAGAAGAAGCACCGGCUAACUCUGUGCCAGCAGCCGCUGU